AAUGGCUAGCUUGGUAAUCAGGUGGUUGCUCCUCCUCCUGUCAAACUAGAUAGGAUCUGUUUCCUCAUCACCUUCAGUCAGUUACAUGACGGUAGACAACUCAACACAAAGAAAAUGAGAAAGAAAGGGAUAAUUUACUUUAAGAAAAAUCAUUCUAGAUUGUGGAAGAGGCAAAAGUUGGUACAUCAUCUCUGUGCUUCUGCUGGAUUUCACAGGUGCUUUCUCUGAACCUGUAAGGGUCACAGUUAAAGGUUUCGUUGGAGAGUCGGCUGUCUUUCCUUGUUCCAUCCCUGAUAGUGAAAUUCA
rnacentral:lncRNA from 1 species